GGAGAUGAGCAGGUCCGCGGCGCUGCUGCUCUGCUUGCUGGGCUGCCAUGUCUGGAAGGCGGUGACCAAGACGCUGCGGGAGCCGGGGCCCGGAGGCGCCCAAGAGGUCACUCUGAAGGUGCACACCAGUGACUCCAGCACCCACCAGCCCAUCCCGGAUGCACUCAUCGAGGUCUUUGCCAACCAGGUCUCCAUUGCCUCAGGGACAUCGGGGGCAGAUGGCAUUGCCUUCAUCAAGUUCCAGUAUAAGCUGGGCAGUCAGUUAAUUGUCACCACCACAAAGCAUGCUUAUGUGCCAAACUCUGCUCCGUGGAAGCCCAUCCGAUUACCCGUAUUUUCCUCACUGAGCCUUGGCCUGCUUCCAGAACGAUCUGCUACUCUAAUGGUCUAUGAAGAUGUUGUCCAAAUAGUAUCAGGAUUCCAAGGUGCCCGGCCACAGCCUCGCGUUCAUUUCCAAAGAAGGGCUCUGCGCUUGCCUGAGAACUCUAGCUACAGCGACCUCACUGCAUUCCUCACUGCGGCCAGUUCUCCCUCAGAGGUGGACAGCUUUCCUUACUUGCGAGGAUUAGAUGGAAAUGGAACAGGAAACAGUACCAGGUAUGACCUGACCCCUGUCACGGCUGUCAGCGUCCACUUGCUGAGCAGUAAUGGAACCCCGGUGCUGGUGGAUGGUCCCAUCUACGUCACCGUGCCCCUAGCCACACAGAGCAGCCUCGGGCACAAUGCCUAUGUCGCGGCGUGGCGGUUUGACCAGAAGCUGGGAACGUGGCUAAAGAGUGGUCUGGGCCUCGUGCACCAGGAGGGUGGCCAGCUCACGUGGACCUACAUCGCACCCCAGCUGGGCUACUGGGUGGCAGCCAUGUCUCCUCCCAUCCCAGGUCCAGUCGUGACACAGGACAUCACCACAUAUCACACGGUGUUUCUUUUGGCCAUUUUAGGAGGAAUGACUUUCAUACUUCUGGUUUUGCUGUGUCUCCUCUUAUAUUAUUGCAGGAGAAAAUGCUUGAAGCCCCGUCAACACCACAGAAAGCUGCAGCUUCCCACAGCCCUGGAGAGUUCCAGAAGGGACCAGUCCACUUCCAUGUCACACAUCAAUUUGCUGUUUUCUCGUCGGGCAUCAGAAUUCCCUGGUCCACUGUCUGUCGCCAGCCACAGCCGCCCAGAAGCCCCAGGGUCAAAGGAGAUAAUGAGUGGGGUCCACUUAGAAAUGAUGUCCCCUAGCGGAGAGGGAGACCUGCACACGCCCAUGCUGAAGCUCUCCUACAGCACCUCCCAAGAGUUCAGCUCCCGAGAGGAGCUGCUGUCCCACAAGGAGGAAGACAAAAGCCGAACCUCCUUUGACAACCUGACACCAAGUGGGACCCUGGGGAAGGACUACCAUAAGUCCGUGGAAAUUUUUCCCUUGAAGGCCAGAAAACCUAUGGAAAGAGAAGGCUACGAGUCACCAGGCAAUGAUGACUACAGGGGUAGCUACAACACUGUGUUCUCCCAGCCUUCAUAUGAAAAGCAGGACCGAGAAGGGCCAGCAUCCACCGGAAGCAAACUCACCAUUCAGGAACACAUGUACCCUGCGCCUUCAUCUCCAGAAAAAGAACAACUGCUGGACCGCAGACCAACUGAAUGUAUGAUGUCACGAUCAGUUGAUCACCUUGAGAGACCUACAUCUUUCCCACAGCCAGGCCAGUUGAUCUGCUGUAGCUCUGUGGACCAGGUCAAUGACAGUGUGUACAGAAAAGUGCUGCCUGCCCUGGUCAUUCCCGCUCACUACAUGAAACUCCCAGGGGACCAUUCUUAUGUCAGCCAACCCCUGGUUGUCCCAGCAGACCAGCAGCUGGAAAUUGGGAGGCUUCAAGCCGAGCUCUCCAACCCUCAUGCAGGGAUCUUCCCACACCCAUCCGCCCAGAUGCAAGGCCAGCCUCUGUCUUCCCAGGCCAUCUCGCAGCAGCAUCUGCAGGAGGCAGGCACUCGGGAGUGGAGCCCCCAAAACGCCUCCAUGUCAGAGUCUCUGUCCAUCCCAGCAUCCUUGAAUGAUGCAGCUUUGGCUCAAAUGAACAGCGAGGUGCAGCUUCUGACCGAAAAGGCACUAAUGGAACUCGGGGGUGGAAAACCACUUCCACAUCCCCGGGCCUGGUUUGUCUCCCUGGACGGGAGGUCGAAUGCUCAUGUUAGACAUUCAUACAUUGAUCUCCAAAGAGCUGGAAGGAACGGAAGCAAUGAUGCCAGUUUGGACUCUGGUGUGGAUAUGAAUGAACCAAAAUCUGUCCGGAAAGGAAGGGGAGACCCUCUGUCUCUCCAGCAGAGCCACCCAGCUGGCCAGGAGCACCAGCAGAAAGAGCCCAGAGCCCCAGACAGCACUGCCUACACGCAGCUUGUGUACCUGGAUGACAUGGACCAGAGUGGCAGUGAGUGUGGGACCGCCGUGUGCACCCCCGAGGACAGUGCACUACGGUGCCUGCUGGAUAGCUCAAGUCGCAGGAGUGGGGGACAGCUGCCCAGCUUGCAGGAGGAGACCACCAGACGAACCUUAGAUGCACCCCUGGAGCCAUUAGCCAGUCCCCAUCAGAGAUCUGCUCAUGAGGAAGAGGAGGAGGAAGAGGAGGAUGAUGACCAAGGAGAAGACAAGAAAAGCCCCUGGCAGAGACGGGAGGAAAGGCCCCUCAUGGCAUUUAACAUUAAAUGAGCCAUUGCAGAACCACCCAACUGUGGAACAGAAAAUUGCCAAAUAUCCUGUCUUACCUGUUUGUGGGGGAGGUUGGCUAGUGACAGCUACAGAAAUGGAUGCUGACUGCAUUGACACUGCAGUGUUGAUGGCAGAAAGGAAUUAAAGCCGUCACUUAGCCUGAAGGACAACUGUGGCCCAUGUAGCCCCCCGGGGCAGUGGCCAAAAGAAGUCAUUCUAAAUGUUGUUCCGGGACUUGAUGUGCCCGCCACAGCCAGGGACACCAAAAAACUGCACGUGAUGUUCUAUGCUCCAAGGAUCACCUCAGUUCUCCCUCGGAUUCUGGGAACAGAAAAAAUUCUUUUUGCAUUGCUUGAAUCCAUUUUGUCUCCAUAAUGCCACCAUGACAUUAUUCCUGAGAAGUGAGGGUGGCACUUAGUGUCCUAAGGCAGAAAACCACAGGAGCUGAUUUCUAUUAUUUUACAUCUCCAUUGAUGAUGCUCAGGGAUGGAGACAGGAAUGCAGCCUCUCUGCAGCCACACAACUAAACAGACAGGAGUGGCUGAGAUGGAGGAGCACAGCCGCUUCUGGAAUGAAUGUCCCCGCCAAAGGGUGGCAGGUGAAGCCUUGCAGAUGUUGCUACAAAGUCACUGGCCACACCCACACUCCACCCCCCUAAGAAGUUACCUUUCCAGGAAUACACAAGGCCAGGUCCUAGGCAUGGGAGCAAGAGGAGGGGCACUGGAAGACCCCCUGCUCUCCCUGGUCCCAGCACUUGGCAGCUUUGCCAAAGGAAUCAUCUCAGAGUGCUGUUUAAUGACGCUUGCUGCCCAUGGAAGGCAGGCAGAUGUUACCUGUUAGCACUGACUGGGCCAUCUGGCAAGAAGGGCAGGAGCGCUACUUUUCCGACUCUUCCUCUUGAGGUGAGGUUGGGGAGGACCUGACGCUGACCAUGGAUAGUACCAAGCAGCCAGCAGGGCUCACACAGCACCGUGUGCCCAAGAAGGCAGGGCCUGUGGAAAAGGAGAAUUGGUUCUGCUGAAGAUGGAGUUCAGUUUGUUAUCCUUGUCUACAGUGUGUUGAGGUUAACAUUUUUUCUCAGGGUGCCAACACUGAUCACCAGACAAAAAUUCUCUGGACAGAGUGCUGUGACAGCAGACUUUAAACAUUUCAUUUAUCUUCUCACUAGCCCAGUGAGGAUAGUGAGGGUAAAAUGUGACCGGAUUUCCAAUCAAUGGUGGUGUCUGGAGGGCCAAAAGCAUCUUGCUUACGCCACCUAGUGGCAAGUUCUCAUCUGCCCACUAAGGAGCAGGUCUUUGGGAAAGAUGGGGUCCAGGGUGGAAUGAGCCCCUAGUUUGGUCUUCCAGCUAAGGUGGAAAGGAGAUGAGACAGGUCAGUGGCAUUCUCACCUGGAAAAAAAAGUAUCAACAAUGUAUCCAAUUAUCAAAAAUCUUAGGAGGAAGGAAUCUAUACUGCCUUGUUCUAUACCUAACUAAAUUGUUAAGUAAUUGAGUUACUCAGCUUGAAGUACUUAUAUG